rnacentral:rRNA from 1 species
UGCAGCAACGCCGCGUGAGUGAUGAAGGCCUUCGGGUGUAAACCUCUGUCGGGAGGGACGAAAGGCGCGCGGGUGAACAAUCCGCGUACUUGACGGUACCUCCAAAGGAAGCGCCGGCUAACUCCGUGCCAGCAGCCGCGGUAAUACGGAGGGCGCAAGCGUUGUUCGGAAUCACUGGGCGUAAAGCGCGUGCAGGCGGCUUGGUAAGUCGGGUGUGAAAUCCCGGAGCUCAACUCCGGAACUGCACCCGAUACUGCCUCGCUAGAGUCCCGGAGAGGAUGGCGGAAUUUCCGGUGUAGAGGUGAAAUUCGUAGAUAUCGGAAGGAACACCAGCGGCGAAGGCGGCCAUCUGGACGGUGACUGACGCUCAGACGCGAAAGCGCGGGGAGCAAACAGGAUUAGAUACCCUGGUAGUCCGCGCUGUAAACGUUGGGUGCUAGGCGUCGUGGGUAUUGACCCCCGCGGUGCCGAAGCUAACGCAUUAAGCACCCCGCCUGGGGAGUACGGUCGCAAGACUA